GAAAAUGGGAAAACAAGCUAAUAUUUAUAGCCCAUGUCCGCUGAUGUUGUGCUGGCUUCGGUCGUUAUGCUAUCGCAGGGCUAAGGCUGUCAGACACGCAGAUCUCAGGCUGGAGAGUCACAGCUCAGAGUAUACACACACCCACACAAAGGCCCUGCCAGCUCAGCCUGUUUGCUUUGUUAUGGCAACCCUGUCACUUCCAUCUGGAGAAACAAAACAACCAUUCAUCCUCUCUUGGGUACCAGCUCUGACGACCGAACAAAGCCGUUGACGACCAGCUCACCUGCGGUCUGUUGU